CCUACGGGAUGCAGCAGUGAGGAAUAUUGGUCAAUGGACGCAAGUCUGAACCAGCCAUGCCGCGUGCAGGAAGAAGGAUCUAUGGUUUGUAAACUUCUUUUAUAGGGGAAUAAAGGUAUCCACGUGUGGAUAUUUGCAUGUACCCUAUGAAUAAGCAUCGGCUAACUCCGUGCCAGCAGCCGCGGUAAUACGGAGGAUGCGAGCGUUAUCCGGAUUUAUUUGGUUUAAAGGGUGCGUAGGUUGUUUUUUAAGUCAGCGGUGAAAGUUUGUGGCUCAACCAUAAAAUUGCCGUUGAAACUGGAAGACUUGAGUGUGUUUGAGGUAGGCGGAAUGCGUGGUGGAGCGGUGAAAUGCAUAGAUAUCACGCAGAACUCCGAGUGCGAAGGCAGCUUACUAAGCCAUAACUGACACUGAAGCACGAAAGCGUGGGGAUCAAACAGGAUUAGAUACCCCAGUAGUC
rnacentral:rRNA from 1 species